rnacentral:rRNA from 1 species
CGUAACAAGGUAGCUGUAGGUGAACCUUCGGCUGGAUCAUUACCGAUCAAACACACACACACACUGUUGAGCUUGUGCGGCUCGUGUUGCUUGCGAUGCGAGUCGCGUUUGGACGUACUGCGAUCGUUAACGCGGUUCGCGGUGCGUCGUGUACACCGUUGCAUGCGUUGUACACUAGACUGUAACUAACGGCUUUGUUUGGCUUCUGUGGAAGGUUGAGCAGUUGUGUUCCACGACCGUGGCUGCGUAUGAUACCGACCGAUAGCUUGACGCUUCGUGCGACGAGUGAGAAUCAAUGACUCCGAGAGGGCGCCAAACAAUUUUUCAUUCAUUCAUUCAUUUUUAUGUGUAACUGAAAAGUUACUCCGGUGGAUCACUCGGUUCGCGGGUCGAUGAAAAACGCAGUGAAUUGCGAUAUGAAGUACGAAUUACAGAUAUUACGAGUACCGUGUAUUUGAAUGCAUAUUGCGUCGUUGGGCUCUGUCCUUCGACAUAUGCGAUUCAGGGUAUGUUUACUACCACACAGAGUUCGUGCCAUGUUCUUCGGACUGUCGAAGGUGUUCGGUUUGAACUACUGCUUCAAUGGCUGGCAGCUGUGAAGGCGUGCCCGAGAGGGCGUGGCUUGCAGUUGUCUGAUAGUGUGGACAGGUCGCUUUAAUCGGUGGCUGGUGUAGAAACUAAUAAUUAGCUGACGCGUUUGUUGUGUCGUACGUAGGCGCUUGGUUGAGCGGCGUGCGAUGCGAACGGUCGAGAUACCGCGCCGCUGACGGCGGUUCGUCGAUGCAUCUAUUCGUUUUGCGGAUUGUCGCAAGUAUUAACGGGUGUAUUUCGGCGGCAUAGUCGCAGCGGAUGUCGGGGGCUUUUGCGUGCGGUGCUUCGGUACUGCUCGUGCUGGCUGCUCGGUUGGCAAACGUGCUUCAGUUAGUUUUAAACUACCUGAGUUGCGUAUGAUUACCUGCUGAACUUAAGCAUAUCAGUAAGCAGAGGAAAAGAAACGUAAACGGAUUCCCUUAGUAACGGCGAGUGAAA